CCUCGGGAGCCCCACUCCCACCCCGCCUCUGCGGGACCACUUCCGGCGCCUUCCUAUGCCGUCUGCCCGCCCCCUUCCCUCCACGGCCUAUAUCCUUUCAGGGCCGCCACAGCGCUCGCGAGUCCCUGCGUAACUUCCGCUUUUAGGCCGAGACACGUACAAACGUGAUACGUGGCUGCUGGCGUCGACCCGAGGGGCAGGGACUAGGCAUUUUAGCAACCAAGGGGGUGUGGCUAAGCGAGAGAGCGGCUUCCCUGGUGGCCCGGGCGCGCGGUCUUGUCAUCUUGUUGCUCCUUGUGAGCGCUGGGUAGAGAAAGUGAGGGGGUAGAGGGUUUACUUGCCAGGCCUGGGUUCUCUGGGUGUCACGGGUAGGCGCUUAGAUCCAAAACGGCGGCGCCACAACAGCUGAACAGACGGAUCUCGAGCCGGGGUUUGGGCUACUUGUGUCUAGGCGCUCGCGAAGCUGCGCAGGCGCACACAGCAGCGCCGUGGUCCUGUCUUGGAUGCCCAUUACUCAUCAAAUUCGGCCACAUGCCGUGCGCUUACCUCCUACUCAGAUGCACGCGUGCCGGGGAUGGGGGCACGCGCUUACUUCUUUUGCCCCGUUUAGAAAGGAGAAGACAGCCAUGUACAAACCAAGGAGAGAGACCUCAAGGUAACCACACCUUGAUCAUGGAAUUCUAGCCACCAGAAUUGUUAAGACAAUAAAUGUCUGUUGUUUAGGCCA